AUUGAACGCUGGCGGCAUGCUUUACACAUGCAAGUCGAACGGCAGCGGGUCCUUCGGGAUGCCGGCGAGUGGCGAACGGGUGAGUAAUGCAUCGGAACGUACCGUGUAAUGGGGGAUAACCGUAGCGAAAGUUACGCUAAUACCGCAUACGCCCUGAGGGGGAAAGCGGGGGAUCGCAAGACCUCGCGUUAUACGAGCGGCCGAUGUCGGAUUAGCUAGUUGGUGGGGUAAAGCCCACCAAGGCGACGAUCCGUAGCGGGUCUGAGAGGAUGAUCCGCCACACUGGGACUGAGACACGGCCCAGACUCCUACGGGAGGCAGCAGUGGGGAAUUUUUGGACAAUGGGGGCAACCCUGAUCCAGCCAUGCCGCGUGCGGGAAGAAGGCCCUGGUU
rnacentral:rRNA from 1 species